UUGCAGCUGCUGAAUGGUGAAGAAUGGGACCUGUCUCUCCAGCACGAUUAGGGAUUCUGAAUGGUGAAGAAUGGGACCUGUGUCUCCAGCACGAGUAGGGGUACAAUCUAGAUGGUUAAGCAUAUAUCCCAAUUGAGGCUAUCAAUUGUUAGGCGGAGCUAAAGGAGUACUAUUAAGGUACAUUAUUUGCUUAAACUUUUAUCUUACUACCAAGAAUAAAGUAGUUGACGGUACAUAGUAUUGAGGGAAAGAUAUAUUUUAUUAAAACUCCAAGUACUUUAUUUGAAAAAUGGGAAAAAAAAGUGUAUGAAAACAACACUUAUUCAGGAAUUUGUAACAACCAAAAUAGUUUGCAAACUUGGAGAUAGGGGCCUCCUAACAUAAUUAGAAGGUUUUAUUUUUAUCAUACUACGACAACAGUAGUAAACCUACUUCUUCUCUACCUUGAUCUUCACUCCAACCAUAGCUUUGGCUCCAUUGUUCUCAGUUUUGGGAACACCUUUUCCGGUAGUGACUUCGACCUUGUUCACAUAAUCUGCUUUUCUUUCAAAAUCACCUUCAGUGUUAGCUUCAUCAACAGGAUCUUGUAGUUCAUUGUCCUUGUUAA